UACGUAGGGUGCAAGCGUUGUCCGGAAUUAUUGGGCGUAAAGAGCUCGUAGGCGGUUUGUCGCGUCUGCUGUGAAAACUGGGGGCUCAACCCCCAGCUGCAGUGGGUACGGGCAGACUAGAGUGCGGUAGGGGAGAUUGGAAUUCCUGGUGUAGCGGUGGAAUGCGCAGAUAUCAGGAGGAACACCGAUGGCGAAGGCAGAUCUCUGGGCCGUAACUGACGCUGAGGAGCGAAAGCAUGGGGAGCGAACAGG
rnacentral:rRNA from 1 species